GACAGAGGUGCCGAGCGUUAGGCGGAAUCACUGGGCUUAAAGCGUGUGUAGGCGGGCCGUUAAGUAUCUUGUGAAAUCCCCCGGCUCAACCGGGGAAUGGCUGGAUAUACUGGCGGUCUUGAGCGAUCUAGGGGCAGAUGGAACAAGUGGUGGAGCGGUGAAAUGCGUAGAUAUCGUCUGGAACGCCAAAGGUGAAAACAGCUCGCUGGGGUUGUGCUGACGCUGAGACACGAAAGCCAGGGGAGCGAACGGG
rnacentral:rRNA from 1 species